AAGAGAUGGCGGACCGGCGCGACGGGUGAGUAACACGUACCCAACCUGCCGAUAACUACGGAAAUAGUCCUUUACGAAAAGAAAGAUUAAUACCGGAUGGCAUACGAAUAUCGCAUGAUAUUUUUAUUAAAGAAUUUCGGUUAUCGAUGGGGAUGCGUUCCAUUAGUUUGUUGGCGGGGUAACGGCCCACCAAGACUACGAUGGAUAGGGGUUCUGAGAGGAAGGUCCCCCACAUUGGAACUGAGACACGGUCCAA
rnacentral:rRNA from 1 species